rnacentral:lncRNA from 1 species
AAGGGGGAACCAAGGAGCUUUUGCUAGCAAUAUCCAUAAAAGGAUGUCAAACGCUAGAUUUGAAGCAUGCCUGAUACGAUCUUUUCUAUCUUUUGUUAUGUUGAACCUUGGCGUAAUCACAUCUUUCCUAUUUCAAUUGCCCUGUUUAAAUAAUUAUUCUACUAUUCUGCUUAAGUCAUUAUUGUACUAUUCUGCUUGUGUUCAUACUCUUAUUCCAGACCGGUCAUUAUGAGAUUUUUAUUAAGUGACAAGGAAUCGUAUAUCAAAGUGCUUUCUUUCAAAGGAAACUUACCUUUUUGUUAUAGUGCAAAAUAUGCUACCAAGUCAUUUUAACUAAGAUUGGGUAAUUUACGACCUGCAGUCACAUUCUUCUCCUUAAGCUUUAGAUUUAUGAUUCAAAACGCCUCCUCCUUUAGGGCCUUGGGCUGUACAUGAAGUGUUUAGAAUGAGAAUAGUCCGCUUUUGAUUUGAGAUAUUUAGGUCAUUGCCUUCUAGUAGGUUGAUUUGGAUUCUUUUUGUGGAAUAUGAUAUGUGGAUCUUUUGCCUGCAGCAUUUGUAUUACGUAAACUUAUGAGUAUUGUGUUAUUCUUUUCUGAGUGGUAAAAUUAUAUCUUUGCAAUAGAUAGGUGAAUGAUUCCUAUCACCUUUUUUCUUUUCUAGAUCGCAUUUUUAUAUCCUUCAUGCUUAAUUUGAACAGUACUUCAGUUUAUAAAUUUUCAAGCAAUUUAUUCUUCCUCCGAGCCAUAAUCAUCCACCUGCUGUCAUUAGUGAAUUGCU